rnacentral:ncRNA from 1 species
GAAGUAACGCUUAAUAGGGAAUCCGGUGUAAGUCCGGAACUGUACCCGCAGCUGUAAGUUCCUUUUAUAAGGGAUUUUGUACUUCAAAUGUCACUGGUUAUAAACUGGGAAGGCAACAAAAUCCGGAACAAGUCAGAAGACCUGCCGAACAAGAUA